CAGCAAAAUACCCAUUAACAUACAUGACAAUUAAACUGCGCACUUCAAAAUGAGUAACCAAAACAAACAUUUAUGACAAUCAUCAUUCACACAGAAUAAACUUCUAACAGCUGUAUUCAGAACAUAUUAUUGUAAGGUAUACCAAUUUUAGUUUGUAUUGGAUUUAUUUAAGAUUUCUGGUACCAAAGGGUUUAUUUUUUCUUUUUUUUAAAGAAGGGAUCCCGUACGGCCAUAUAACACGUUUGACUU